UACGUAGGUGGCAAGCGUUGUCCGGAUUUAUUGGGUUUAAAGGGUGCGUAGGCGGUUCUAUAAGUCAGUGGUGAAAUACUCCAGCUUAACUGGAGGGGUGCCAUUGAUACUGCAGGGCUUGAGUGGAGUCGAAGUAGGCGGAAUUGACGGUGUAGCGGUGAAAUGCUUAGAUAUCGUCAAGAACACCGAUAGUGAAGACAGUUUACUAGGCUUCUACUGACGCUGAGGCACGAAAGUGUGGGGAUCAAACAGG
rnacentral:rRNA from 1 species